UACGGAGGAUCCAAGCGUUAUCCGGAAUCAUUGGGUUUAAAGGGUCCGUAGGCGGUUUAGUAAGACAGAGGUGAAAGCCCAUCGCUCAACGGGGGAACGGCCAUUGAUACUGCUAAACUUGAAUUAUUAGGAAGUAACUAGAAUAUGUAGUGUAGCGGUGAAAUGCUUAGAGAUUACAUGGAAUACCAAUUGCGAAGGCAGGUUACUACUAAUGGAUUGACGCUGAUGGACGAAAGCGUGGGUAGCGAACAGGAUUAGAUACCCUGGUAGUCCACGCCGUAAACGAUGGAUACUAGCUGUUGGAAGCAAUUUCAGUGGCUAAGCGAAAGUGAUAAGUAUCCCACCUGGGGAGUACGUUCGCAAGAAUGAAACUCAAAGGAAUUGACGGGGGCCCGCACAAGCGGUGGAGCAUGUGGUUUAAUUCGAUGAUACGCGAGGAACCUUACCAAGGCUUAAAUGUAGAUUGACCGGUUUGGAAACAGACCUUUCGCAAGACAAUUUACAAGGUGCUGCAUGGGUGUCGUCAGCUCGUGCCGUGAGGGGUCAGGUUAAGUCCUAUAACGAGCGCAACCCCUGUUGUUAGUUGCCAGCGACUCAUGUCGGGACCUCCAACGAGACUGCCAGUGCAAACUGAGAGGAAGGUGGGGAAGACGUCAAAUCAUCCCGGCCCUUACGCCUUGGGCUACCCCCGUGCUACAAUGGCCGGUACAGAGAACAACCCCUGGGUGGCCCGGAGCGAAUUUACAAAACCGGUCACAGUUCGGAUCGGAGUUUGCAACUUGACUCCGUGAAACUGGAAUCGCUAGUAAUCGGAUAUCAACCAUGAUCCGGUGAAUACGUUCCCGGGCCU
rnacentral:rRNA from 1 species